rnacentral:rRNA from 1 species
AAAUUGAAGAGUUUGAUCAUGGCUCAGAUUGAACGCUGGCGGCAGGCCUAACACAUGCAAGUCGAGCGGUAGCACAGAGAGCUUGCUCUCGGGUGACGAGCGGCGGACGGGUGAGUAAUGUCUGGGAAACUGCCUGAUGGAGGGGGAUAACUACUGGAAACGGUAGCUAAUACCGCAUAACGUCGCAAGACCAAAGUGGGGGACCUUCGGGCCUCAUGCCAUCAGAUGUGCCCAGAUGGGAUUAGCUAGUAGGUGGGGUAACGGCUCACCUAGGCGACGAUCCCUAGCUGGUCUGAGAGGAUGACCAGCCACACUGGAACUGAGACACGGUCCAGACUCCUACGGGAGGCAGCAGUGGGGAAUAUUGCACAAUGGGCGCAAGCCUGAUGCAGCCAUGCCGCGUGUGUGAAGAAGGCCUUCGGGUUGUAAAGCACUUUCAGCGGGGAGGAAGGCGUUAAGGUUAAUAACCUUGGCGAUUGACGUUACCCGCAGAAGAAGCACCGGCUAACUCCGUGCCAGCAGCCGCGGUAAUACGGAGGGUGCAAGCGUUAAUCGGAAUUACUGGGCGUAAAGCGCACGCAGGCGGUCUGUCAAGUCGGAUGUGAAAUCCCCGGGCUCAACCUGGGAACUGCAUUCGAAACUGGCAGGCUAGAGUCUUGUAGAGGGGGGUAGAAUUCCAGGUGUAGCGGUGAAAUGCGUAGAGAUCUGGAGGAAUACCGGUGGCGAAGGCGGCCCCCUGGACAAAGACUGACGCUCAGGUGCGAAAGCGUGGGGAGCAAACAGGAUUAGAUACCCUGGUAGUCCACGCCGUAAACGAUGUCGAUUUGGAGGUUGUGCCCUUGAGGCGUGGCUUCCGGAGCUAACGCGUUAAAUCGACCGCCUGGGGAGUACGGCCGCAAGGUUAAAACUCAAAUGAAUUGACGGGGGCCCGCACAAGCGGUGGAGCAUGUGGUUUAAUUCGAUGCAACGCGAAGAACCUUACCUGGUCUUGACAUCCACAGAACUUUCCAGAGAUGGAUUGGUGCCUUCGGGAACUGUGAGACAGGUGCUGCAUGGCUGUCGUCAGCUCGUGUUGUGAAAUGUUGGGUUAAGUCCCGCAACGAGCGCAACCCUUAUCCUUUGUUGCCAGCGGUCCGGCCGGGAACUCAAAGGAGACUGCCAGUGAUAAACUGGAGGAAGGUGGGGAUGACGUCAAGUCAUCAUGGCCCCUUACGACCAGGGCUACACACGUGCUACAAUGGCAUAUACAAAGAGAAGCGACCUCGCGAGAGCAAGCGGACCUCAUAAAGUAUGUCGUAGUCCGGAUUGGAGUCUGCAACUCGACUCCAUGAAGUCGGAAUCGCUAGUAAUCGUAGAUCAGAAUGCUACGGUGAAUACGUUCCCGGGCCUUGUACACACCGCCCGUCACACCAUGGGAGUGGGUUGCAAAAGAAGUAGGUAGCUUAACCUUCGGGAGGGCGCUUACCACUUUGUGAUUCAUGACUGGGGUGAAGUCGUAACAAGGUAACCGUAGGGGAACCUGCGGUUGGAUCACCUCCUUACCUUAAAGAA